AUUGAACGCUGGCGGCAGGCCUAACACAUGCAAGUCGAACGAGUGGCGGACGGGUGAGUAAUGUCUGGGAAACUGCCUGAUGGAGGGGGAUAACUACUGGAAACGGUCGCUAAUACCGCAUACCAUCUGAUGUGCCCAGAUGGGAGUAGCUAGUAGGUGGGGUAAUGGCUCACCUAGGCGACGAUCCCUAGCUGGUCUGAGAGGAUGACCAGCCACACUGGAACUGAGACACGGUCCAGACGCCUACGGGAGGCAGCAGUGGGUAAUAUUGCACAAUGGGCGCAAGCCUGAUGCAGCCAUGCCGCGUGUAUGAAGAAGGCCUUCGGGUUGUAAAGUACUUGCAGCGGGGAGGCGUUACCCGCAGAAGAAGCACCGGCUAACUCCGUGCCAGAAGCCGCGGUAAUAC
rnacentral:rRNA from 1 species